AGUGAACGCUGGCGGUAGGCCUAACACAUGCAAGUCGAACGGCAGCACAGUAAGAGCUUGCUCUUACGGGUGGCGAGUGGCGGACGGGUGAGGAAUACAUCGGAAUCUACUUUUUCGUGGGGGAUAACGUAGGGAAACUUACGCUAAUACCGCAUACGACCUACGGGUGAAAGCAGGGGAUCUUCGGACCUUGCGCGAUUGAAUGAGCCGAUGUCGGAUUAGCUAGUUGGCGGGGUAAAGGCCCACCAAGGCAACGAUCCGUAGCUGGUCUGAGAGGAUGAUCAGCCACACUGGAACUGAGACACGGUCCAGACUCCUACGGGAGGCAGCAGUGGGGAAUAUUGGACAAUGGGCGAAAGCCUGAUCCAGCCAUACCGCGUGGGUGAAGAAGGCCUUCGGGUUGUAAAGCCCUUUUGUUGGGAAAGAAAAGCAGCAGGUUAAUACCCCGCUGUUCUGACGGUACCCAAAGAAUAAGCACCGGCUAACUUCGUG
rnacentral:rRNA from 1 species